AUUGAACGCUGGCGGCAGGCCUAACACAUGCAAGUCGAGCGGAUGAAGGGAGCUUGCUCCUGGAUUCAGCGGCGGACGGGUGAGUAAUGCCUAGGAAUCUGCCUGGUAGUGGGGGAUAACGUCCGGAAACGGGCGCUAAUACUGCAUACGUCCUGAGGGAGCAAGUGGGGGAUCUUCGGACCUCACGCUAUCAGAUGAGCCUAGGUCGGGUUAGCUAGUUGGUGGGGUAAAGGCCUACCAAGGCGACGAUCCGUAACUGGUCUGAGAGGAUGAUCAGUCACACUGGAACUUAGACACGGUCCAGACUCCUACGGGAGGCAGCAGUGGGGAAUAUUGGACAAUGGGCGAAAGCCUGAUCCAGCCAUGCCGCGUGUGUGAAGAAGGUCUUCGGAUUGUAAAGCACUUUAAGUUGGGAGGAAGGGCAGUAAGUUAAUACCUUGCUGUUUUGACGUUACCAACAGAAUAAGCACCGGCUAACUUCGUG
rnacentral:rRNA from 1 species